GUGUUCAGUGAAAUCGAGUAGGGCGGGACACGUGAUAUCCUGUCUGAAUAUGGGGGGACCAUCCUCCAAGGCUAAAUACUACUGACUGACCGAUAGUGAACCAGUACCGUGAGGGAAAGGCGAAAAGAACCCCUGUGAGGGGAGUGAAAUAGAACCUGAAACCGUGUACGUACAAGCAGUAGGAGCAGGCUUGUCCUGUGACUGCGUACCUUUUGUAUAAUGGGUCAGCGACUUAUAUUCAGUAGCAAGGUUAACCAUCUAGGGGAGCCGUAGAGAAAUCGAGUCUUAACUGGGCGUCGAGUUGCUGGAUAUAGACCCGAAACCAGGUGAUCUAGCCAUGGGCAGGUUGAAGGUUGAGUAACAUCAACUGGAGGACCGAACCGACUAAUGUUGAAAAAUUAGCGGAUGACUUGUGGCUAGGGGUGAAAGGCCAAUCAAACCUGGAGAUAGCUGGUUCUCCCCGAAAUCUAUUUAGGUAGAGCCUCGGACGAAUACUACUGGGGGUAGAGCACUGUUAAGGCUAGGGGGUCAUCCCGACUUACCAACCCUUUGCAAACUCCGAAUACCAGUAAGUACUAUCCGGGAGACACACGGCGGGUGCUAACGUCCGUCGUGGAGAGGGAAACAACCCAGACCGCCAGCUAAGGUCCCAAAUUACAGCUAAGUGGGAAACGAUGUGGGAAGGCUUAGACAGCUAGGAUGUUGGCUUAGAAGCAGCCAUCAUUUAAAGAAAGCGUAAUAGCUCACUAGUCGAGUCGGCCUGCGCGGAAGAUGUAACGGGGCUAAGCUGUAAACCGAAGCUGCGGCAAUGCAUUUUAUGUAUUGGGUAGGGGAGCGUUCUGUAAGCCGUUGAAGGUGUGUUGUAAAGCAUGCUGGAGGUAUCAGAAGUGCGAAUGCUGACAUGAGUAACGAUAAAGGGGGUGAAAAACCUCCUCGCCGGAAGACCAAGGGUUCCUGUCCAACGUUAAUCGGGGCAGGGUAAGUCGACCCCUAAGGCGAGGCCGAAAGGCGUAGUCGAUGGGAAACGGGUUAAUAUUCCCGUACUUCUUACAAUUGCGAUGGGGGGACGGAGAAGGCUAGGUGGGCCUGGCGACGGUUGUCCAGGUUCAAGUGCGUAGGCUUGAGAGUUAGGUAAAUCCGGCUCUCUAUAAGGCUGAGACACGAUGUCGAGCUACUACGGUAGUGAAGUCAUUGAUGCCAUGCUUCCAGGAAAAGCCUCUAAGCUUCAGAUUGUAAGGAAUCGUACCCCAAACCGACACAGGUGGUCGGGUAGA
rnacentral:rRNA from 1 species